GACGAACGCUGGCGGCGUGCUUAACACAUGCAAGUCGAACGGAAAGGCCCUGCUUGCAGGGUGCUCGAGUGGCGAACGGGUGAGUAACACGUGGGUGAUCUGCCCCUUACUUUGGGAUAAGCCUGGGAAACUGGGUCUAAUACUGGAUAGGACCAUGCUGUAGGUGGUGUGGUGGAAAGAUUAGUUUCGGUAAGGGAUGAGCUCGCGGCCUAUCAGCUUGUUGGUGGGGUAAUGGCCUACCAAGGCGUCGACGGGUAGCCGGCCUGAGAGGGUGGACGGCCACAUUGGGACUGAGAUACGGCCCAGACUCCUACGGGAGGCAGCAGUGGGGAAUAUUGCACAAUGGGCGCAAGCCUGAUGCAGCGACGCCGCGUGGGGGAUGACGGCCUUCGGGCUGUAAACUCCUUUCAGCCAUGACGAAGCCCUUGUGGUGACGGUAGUGGUAGAAGAAGCACCAGCUAACUACGUG
rnacentral:rRNA from 1 species